rnacentral:rRNA from 1 species
GACGAACGCUGGCGGCGUGCCUAAUACAUGCAAGUUGAGCGAUGAAGAUUGGUGCUUGCACCAAUUUGAAGAGCAGCGAACGGGUGAGUAACGCGUGGGGAAUCUGCCUUUGAGCGGGGGACAACAUUUGGAAACGAAUGCUAAUACCGCAUAAUAACUUUAAACAUAAGUUUUAAGUUUGAAAGAUGCAAUUGCAUCACUCAAAGAUGAUCCCGCGUUGUAUUAGCUAGUUGGUGAGGUAAAGGCUCACCAAGGCGAUGAUACAUAGCCGACCUGAGAGGGUGAUCGGCCAAAUUGGGACUGGGACACGGCCCAAACUCCUACGGGAGGCAGCAGUAGGGAAUCUUCGGCAAGGGACGAAAGGCUGACCGAGCAACGCCGCGUGAGUGAAGAAGGGUUUCGGAUCGUAAAACUCUGUUGGUAGAGAAGAACGUUGGUGAGAGUGGAAAGCUCAUCAAGUGACGGUAACUACCCAGAAAGGGACGGCUAACUACGUG